AUGAUUCCUGCAGCAGCUCCGGUGGCCGAUGCUUUCUUGCACGCACGCUCUGUGGCUUUGCUUGCUUGCUUACUCGGGUUGGUGAAGAGAGGGAGGGGACGCGACCCUGGUUAUAUACGGCGAGCAUGGUCAUGGAGGAAGUUCUGGUCAUGGCGGUUUGUAACGCUGGAGGAGUCCAGAAUAUUCGUGGACGCGGCCGCGAGGGAGAGCCUCGUGACGCACGCGGUGGCGUCGUGGAGGUUGCAACCGUCUCGUGGUUUCGGGGUUUCGCGCGUGUUUUUUUUCCCUCCUGUGCUGCUUUCUCUGCCCGUGAAAUUUGACAAAUAUGAUUUUUUUUCGGUAUUGAUAAGUGCCGAACGUGCCACGCUCUAG
rnacentral:rRNA from 1 species